GAUGAACGCUGGCGGCGUGCCUAAUACAUGCAAGUCGAGCGAACAGACGAGGAGCUUGCUCCUCUGACGUUAGCGGCGGACGGGUGAGUAACACGUGGAUAACCUACCUAUAAGACUAGGAUAACUUCGGGAAACCGGAGCUAAUACCGGAUAAUAUAUUGAACCGCAUGGUUCAAUAGUGAAGGACGGUUUUGCUGUCACUUAUAGAUGGAUCCGCGCCGCAUUAGCUAGUUGGUAAGGUAACGGCUUACCAAGGCGACGAUGCGUAGCCGACCUGAGAGGGUGAUCGGCCACACUGGAACUGAGACACGGUCCAGACUCCUACGGGAGGCAGCAGUAGGGAAUCUUCCGCAAUGGGCGAAAGCCUGACGGAGCAACGCCGCGUGAGUGAUGAAGGUCUUCGGAUCGUAAAACUCUGUUAUUAGGGAAGAACAAAUGUGUAAGUAACUAUGCACGUCUUGACGGUACCUAAUCAGAAAGCCACGGCUAACUACGUG
rnacentral:rRNA from 1 species